rnacentral:rRNA from 1 species
AACGAACGCUGGCGGCAUGCCUAACACAUGCAAGUCGAACGAGACCUUCGGGUCUAGUGGCGCACGGGUGCGUCACGCGUGGGAACCUGCCCUUAGGCUCGGAAUAACUCCCCGAAAGGGGUGCUAAUACCGGAUAAUGUCUUCGGAUCAAAGAUUUAUCGCCUUUGGAUGGGCCCGCGUUGGAUUAGCUUGUUGGUAGGGUAAAAGCCUACCAAGGCGACGAUCCAUAGCUGGUCUGAGAGGAUGAUCAGCCACACUGGGACUGAGACACGGCCCAGACUCCUACGGGAGGCAGCAGUGGGGAAUAUUGGACAAUGGGCGAAAGCCUGAUCCAGCAAUGCCGCGUGAGUGAUGAAGGCCUUAGGGUUGUAAAGCUCUUUUACCCGGGAUGAUAAUGACAGUACCGGGAGAAUAAGCUCCGGCUAACUCCGUG